rnacentral:rRNA from 1 species
UACGUAGGGUGCGAGCGUUGUCCGGAAUUACUGGGCGUAAAGAGCUCGUAGGUGGUUUGUCGCGUCGUCUGUGAAAUUCCGGGGCUUAACUUCGGGCGUGCAGGCGAUACGGGCAAUACUUGAGUGCUGUAGGGGAGACUGGAAUUCCUGGUGUAGCGGUGAAAUGCGCAGAUAUCAGGAGGAACACCAAUGGCGAAGGCAGGUCUCUGGGCAGUUACUGACGCUGAGGAGCGAAAGCAUGGGUAGCGAACAGGAUUA